UCCCUGGGGAAUGGUGUCUAUGAUCUGUU
rnacentral:piRNA from 1 species